rnacentral:misc_RNA from 1 species
CAACCCUCAAGCCCCUAAAGCUUGGUGUUGGGGAUCGGCUUCUUUCCUAGCAGCCGGCCCCGAAAUGCAGUGGCGGUCCCGCCGCAGCGUCCUCUGCGUAGUAGCAAAACACCUCGCACUGGAACGCGGCAUGGCCACGCCGUAAAGCAGAGCGGUGCGCAAGCACUGUUCUCAUACCCAAGG